rnacentral:rRNA from 1 species
AGAGUUUGAUCCUGGCUCAGAAUGAACGCUGGCGGCGUGCUUAACACAUGCAAGUCGUGCGCGAAGGUGGCUUCGGCCACCGGAGAGCGGCGAACGGGUGAGUAACACGUGGGUAAUCUGCCUGGGAGUGGGGGAUAACCUGGGGAAACUCGGGCUAAUACCGCAUACGUCGCGGGGCUGCGGCUCCGCCAAGAAAGCUG